rnacentral:rRNA from 1 species
CUCUUAAGAUUGAGCUGUGAUGGGGAGAGGAACUUGUUCCUCGAGUCGUUGAUUUCACACUGCCGAGAAAAGCCUCUAGCUAGAAUAACGGUGCCCGUACCGCAAACCGACACAGGUAGUCAAGAUGAGAAUUCUAAGGUGAGCGAGCGAACUCUCGUUAAGGAACUCGGCAAAAUGACCCCGUAACUUCGGGAGAAGGGGUGCUCUUUGAGGUUCACGCUUCGAAGAGCCGCAGUGAAUAGGCCCAAGCGACUGUUUAUCAAAAACACAGGUCUCUGCUAAACCGUAAGGUGACGUAUAGGGGCUGACGCCUGCCCGGUGCUGGAAGGUUAAGAGGAGUGGUUAGCGCAAGCGAAGCUACGAAUCGAAGCCCCAGUAAACGGCGGCCGUAACUAUAACGGUCCUAAGGUAGCGAAAUUCCUUGUCGGGUAAGUUCCGACCCGCACGAAAGGCGUAACGAUUUGGGCACUGUCUCAACGAGAGACUCGGUGAAAUCAUAGUACCGGUGAAGAUGCCGGUUACCCGCGACAGGACGGAAAGACCCCGUGGAGCUUUACUGUAGCCUGAUAUUGAAAUUCGGUACAGUUUGUACAGGAUAGGUAGGAGCCUUAGAAGCGUGAGCGCUAGCUUACGUGGAGGCAUUGGUGGGAUACUACCCUAAUUGUAUUGGAUUUCUAACCCGCAGCACUUAUCGUGCUGGGAGACAGUGUCAGGCGGGCAGUUUGACUGGGGCGGUCGCCUCCUAAAGAGUAACGGAGGCGCUCAAAGGUUCCCUCAGAAUGGUUGGAAAUCAUUCAUAGAGUGUAAAGGCAUAAGGGAGCUUGACUGCGAGACCUACAAGUCGAGCAGGGUCGAAAGACGGACUUAGUGAUCCGGUGGUUCCGCAUGGAAGGGCCAUCGCUCAACGGAUAAAAGCUACCCCGGGGAUAACAGGCUUAUCUCCCCCAAGAGUUCACAUCGACGGGGAGGUUUGGCACCUCGAUGUCGGCUCAUCGCAUCCUGGGGCUGUAGUCGGUCCCAAGGGUUGGGCUGUUCGCCCAUUAAAGCGGUACGCGAGCUGGGUUCAGAACGUCGUGAGACAGUUCGGUCCCUAUCCGUCGUGGGCGUAGGAAAUUUGAGAGGAGCUGUCCUUAGUACGAGAGGACCGGGAUGGACAUACCUCUGGUGUACCAGUUGUCGUGCCAACGGCA